UACGAAGGGUGCAAGCGUUACUCGGAAUUACUGGGCGUAAAGCGUGCGUAGGUGGUUUGUUAAGUCUGUCGUGAAAGCCCCGGGCUCAACCUGGGAAUGGCAAUGGAUACUGGCAGGCUAGAGUGCGGUAGAGGGUAGUGGAAUUCCCGGUGUAGCGGUGAAAUGCGUAGAGAUCGGGAGGAACACCAGUGGCGAAGGCGGCUACCUGGACCAGCACUGACACUGAGGCACGAAAGCGUGGGGAGCAAACAGG
rnacentral:rRNA from 1 species